rnacentral:rRNA from 1 species
AACGAACGCUGGCGGCAUGCCUAACACAUGCAAGUCGAACGAGACCUUCGGGUCUAGUGGCGCACGGGUGCGCAACGCGUGGGAAUCUGCCCUUGGGUCCGGGAAUAACUCAGAGAAAUUUGUAGCUAAUACCGGAUGAUGACGUAAGUCCAAAGAUUUAUCGCCCAGGGAUGAGCCCGCCGUAGGAUUAGCUAGUUGGUGAGGUAAAGGCUCACCAAGGCGACGAUCCUUAGCUGGUCUGAGAGGAUGAUCAGCCACACUGGGACUGAGACACGGCCCA